AUUUGUCUGGUUAAUUCCGAUAACGAACGAGACCUUAACCUGCUAACUAGUUCUCAAUACUCUGUAUUCUGCAACUUCUUAGAGGGACUAUGUAAAUCAAUUACAUGGAAGUUUGAGGCAAUAACAGGUCAGUGAUGCCCUUAUAUGUCCUGGGCUGCACGCGUGCUACACUGAUGCAUACAACAAGUGCCUAGCCAGACAUGGUAUGGCAAUCUCGAAUAUGCAUCGUGAUGGGGAUAGAUCUUUGCAAUUAUAGAUCUUGAACGAGGAAUUCCUAGUAAGUGCAAGUCAUCAUCUUGCAUUGACUAUGUCCCUGCCCUUUGUACACACCGCCCGUCGCUCCUACCGAUACCGGGUGAUCCGGUGAACCUUUUGGACUCCGUAUGGGGGAAGAUAAGUAAGCCAUAUCACCUAGAGGAAGGAGAAGUCGUAACAAGGUUUCCGUAGGUGAACCUGCRGAAGGAUCA
rnacentral:rRNA from 1 species